UCUGACACAAUGAUGUCAUAGUUUAUUACAACAAGAAAUCAUCAAUACAUGGAAAAUACCAUUCAACUGUAUAUACAUGAUCAAUAUAUAAUAUACAGUGGGGUCUGGAAUUAUAGACACCCUUGAUAAAGAUAAUAAUGACUGUAUAAAUGAAUAAUUUAAAUACUGAGCUCUAUCAUCUGCUCAACAACAUGUGUCAAUUAUAUAAUUUUAUACUAAUACGAUUGAUAUGAUUCAAAUAUUUAGUUUAACAAGUAGUAUUUAUUUUCUAAAUGAUUGACCCCCCUAAAGAGUCUAAUAAAGUAGUCAGAAAGUCAGUAUCUGGUUCUAUAUUCAUAGUAAUGACAUCAUCACACUCCUGAAGAUUCAGGGCUGUCAAUCAUUUUUGACCCCUAACCUUUUACAACAAAAAUACAUUACAAAAACAUAUCUCUGAGCAAUUAUAUUAUUUUUUUCAAUCAAUUGUAUUAGUUUAAAAUAUUAUAAUUUACCAUUUAUUUUUUGAGCAUAGUCAGUAUUCAUUUAUUAUUGCUAAUCUUUAACAAGGAAGUCAAUAACUUCUGACCCCUCUGUAUAUAAUCAAGGUGAAAACUAAACAAGUAGAGUAAAAAUAAACACUUCACAAAGUCAAAUAAAAAACUGGCACAUUGACAUGAAGCUACAAUAGAAGCUGACAGGUUGAAGCUACAAUAGAAGCUGACAGGUUGAAGCUGACAGGUUGAAGCUACAAUAGAAGCUGACAGGUUGAAGCUACAAUAGAAGCUGACAGGUUGAAGCUACAAUAGAAGCUGACAGGUUGAAGCUACAAUAGAAGCUGACAGGUUGAAGCUACAAUAGAAGCUGACAGGUUGAAGCUACAAUAGAUGCUGACAGGUUGAAGCUACAAUAGAAGCUGACAGGUUGAAGCUACAAUAGAAGCUGACAGGUUGAAGCUACAAUAGAAGCUGACAGGUUGAAGCUACAAUAGAAGCUGACAGGUUGAAGCUACAAUAGAAGCUGACAGGUUGAAGCUACAAUAGAAGCUGACAGGUUGAAGCUACAAUAGAAGCUGACAGGUUGAAGCUACAAUAGAAGCUGACAGGUUGAAGCUACAAUAGAAGCUGACAGGUUGAAGCUACAAUAGAAGCUGACAGGUUGAAGCUACAAUAGAAGCUGACAGGUUGAAGCUACAAUAGAAGCUGACAGGUUGAAGCUACAAUAGAAGCUGACAGGUUGAAGCUACAAUAGAAGCUGACAGGUUGACGCUACAAUAGAAGCUGACAGGUUGAAGCUACAAUAGAAGCUGACAGGUUGAAGCUACAAUAGAAGCUGACAGGUUGAAGCUACAAUAGAAGCUGACAGGUUGAAGCUACAAUAGAAGCUGACAGGUUGAAGCUACAAUAGAAGCUGACAGGUUGAAGCUACAAUAGAAGCUGACAGGUUGACGCUACAAUAGAAGCUGACAGGUUGAAGCUACAAUAGAAGCUGACAGGUUGAAGCUACAAUAGAAGCUGACAGGUUGAAGCUACAAUAGAAGCUCUUCUCCCCUCUCCAGCUCAUCCAUAGUUAUAGUCUCUCUAUAGUAACUCAGCUCUAUAGUUAUAGUCUCUCUAUAGUAACCCUAUAGCAUAGAGUUAUAGUCUGUAGUAACUCUU